AUGGGAUUUUUGCUCCUUGUUAUUUUCGCUGUAGCCGCUUUGGAAGGUGUCCGGUCCCAGGUGCAGCUGGUGGAGUCCGGAGGGGAUGUGAAAAAGCCCGGAGACUCUCUCCGCCUCUCCUGCAAAGCCUCCGGGUUCACCUUCAGCAGCUACAAUAUGGACUGGGUCCGACAGACUCCUGGCAAGGGGCUAGAAUGGGUCGCUUAUAUUAGCAGCAGUGGGGGUUAUAUAUACUACCCUGAUUCCGUCAAAGGCCGAUUCACCAUCUCCAGGGAUAAUCCCAAGAGUGAGCUGUAUCUGCAAAUGACCGGCCUGAAGCCCGAGGACACCGCCCGCUAUUACUGUGCGAGAGACACAGUGAGGGGAAGCCGGGCUGAGCUCAGACAAGAACCUCUCCCUGCAGUGAUCAGAGAAGCGGUUUGCUGUUGGGGGCGCCCCAGGCCUGUGAGUGACAAUGAGAUCAGUUCUGGGAAAGGGCCGAGCAGCAGCAAACCCUUUUAUUGUUACUAUUGUCCCUCUUCUUUGCUUUUACACAAGGUGAAGGAAUUUAUAAAAGUUCCCGUAAAGCGCAGAACAUUCUUAGUUGGGUCCCUGCCUCUUUCUUUCCUCUCCAGGGACAAAUUCUGAGCCCACCCCCAACCUCCCCAGGCAGUCACAGAUGCAUAGACAUAAAGGCCAGAACGGAGCAGGAUGAGAAACUAGUCUGAGCUCCUGCAUAACACAGGCCACGGAUCCUCAACCUGGCUCAUUCCGGUUCCCUCUAGGACCCUCUUCACUUCACCGUGCUGGGAUUCCGCUCAGUGUCACCCUGUCAGUGACACAUUCCAGCAGAAGGCUCGGGAUCACUCAGUUUUUCGCGCUAGAACCCCCCAAGUUUCUUUGUAUCUUUGCUUUGUUUUCUGCUUCUUUGUCUGGUUACUUGAAUCAUUUUCUACCUAUGGUGGGUUUUCUGGCACAAGUAGUAUUCAUGACCAUGGCUAUCUGUAACCUGUUUGUAUGAAUGAUGUACUCUCACCAUUUACUGGCUGUACCUUGAACUGACCCACCGUAUACCCCGCAUUGGGGACAUGACAGACUGUGUAUAUGUAUAUGCUGCCUAACACCAAAACGUUAACAUCCCCCCACAACCUGUAUAUUACCCCCAA